rnacentral:rRNA from 1 species
CGUACGGGUGAGUAACACGUGGAUCAUCUACCUCUUAGUGGGGAAUAACUCUGGGAAAACCGGAGCUAAUACCGCAUAAGCCUGGAAAGGGAAAGCGUUGUCGUAAAAAACGACGCGCUGAGAGAGGAGUCCGCGGCCGAUUAGCUAGUUGGCAGGGUAAAAGCCUACCAAGGCAUUGAUCGGUAGCCGGCCUGAGAGGGCACACGGCCACACUGGCACUGAAACACGGGCCAG